UCCACGGGAGGCAGCAGUGGGGAAUUUUGGACAAUGGGCGAAAGCCUGAUCCAGCAAUGCCGCGUGUGUGAAGAAGGCCUUCGGGUUGUAAAGCACUUUUGUCCGGAAAGAAAUCAUUGGCUCUAAUACAGUCGGGGGAUGACGGUACCGGAAGAAUAAGCACCGGCUAACUACGUGCCAGCAGCCGCGGUAAUACGUAGGGUGCGAGCGUUAAUCGGAAUUACUGGGCGUAAAGCGUGCGCAGGCGGUUUGCUAAGACCGAUGUGAAAUCCCCGGGCUCAACCUGGGAACUGCAUUGGUGACUGGCAGGCUAGAGUAUGGCAGAGGGGGGUAGAAUUCCACGUGUAGCAGUGAAAUGCGUAGAGAUGUGGAGGAAUACCGAUGGCGAAGGCAGCCCCCUGGGCCAAUACUGACGCUCAUGCACGAAAGCGUGGGGAGCAAACAGGAUUAGAUACCCUGGUAGUCCACGCCCUAAACGAUGUCAACUAGUUGUUGGGGAUUCAUUUCCUUAGUAACGUAGCUAACGCGUGAAGUUGACCGCCUGGGGAGUACGGUCGCAAGAUUAAAACUCAAAGGAAUUGACGGGGACCCGCACAAGCGGUGGAUGAUGUGGAUUAAUUCGAUGCAACGCGAAAAACCUUACCUACCCUUGACAUGGUCGGAAUCCUGCUGAGAGGUGGGAGUGCUCGAAAGAGAACCGGCGCACAGGUGCUGCAUGGCUGUCGUCAGCCCGUGUCGUGAGAUGUUGGGUUAAGUCCCGCAACGAGCGCAACCCUUGUCCUUAGUUGCUACGCAAGAGCACUCUAAGGAGACUGCCGGUGACAAACCGGAGGAAGGUGGGGAUGACGUCAAGUCCUCAUGGCCCUUAUGGGUAGGGCUUCACACGUCAUACAAUGGUCGGAACAGAGGGUUGCCAACCCGCGAGGGGGAGCUAAUCCCAGAAAACCGAUCGUAGUCCGGAUUGCACUCUGCAACUCGAGUGCAUGAAGCUGGAAUCGCUAGUAAUCGCGGAUCAGCAUGCCGCGGUGAAUAAAGUCCCAUGCCUUGUACACACCGC
rnacentral:rRNA from 1 species